AUUGAACGCUGGCGGCAUGCCUUACACAUGCAAGUCGAACGGCAGCACGGGAGCAAUCCUGGUGGCGAGUGGCGAACGGGUGAGUAAUAUAUCGGAACGUGCCCAGUCGUGGGGGAUAACGUAGCGAAAGCUACGCUAAUACCGCAUACGAUCUAUGGAUGAAAGCGGGGGAUCGCAAGACCUCGCGCGAUUGGAGCGGCCGAUAUCAGAUUAGGUAGUUGGUGGGGUAAAAGCUUACCAAGCCUGCGAUCUGUAGCUGGUCUGAGAGGACGACCAGCCACACUGGAACUGAGACACGGUCCAGACUCCUACGGGAGGCAGCAGUGGGGAAUUUUGGACAAUGGGCGCAAGCCUGAUCCAGCAAUGCCGCGUGCAGGAUGAAGGCCUCGGUUGUAACUAGCUUUGUUACGGUACGAACGGA
rnacentral:rRNA from 1 species